rnacentral:rRNA from 2 species
CCCAGACAGCCAGGAUGUUGGCUUAGAAGCAGCCAUCAUUUAAAGAAAGCGUAAUAGCUCACUGGUCGAGUCGGCCUGCGCGGAAGAUGUAACGGGGCUAAACCAUGCACCGAAGCUGCGGCAGCGACACUCAGGUGUUGUUGGGUAGGGGAGCGUUCUGUAAGCCUGCGAAGGUGGCCUGUGAGGGUUGCUGGAGGUAUCAGAAGUGCGAAUGCUGACAUAAGUAACGAUAAAGCGGGUGAAAAGCCCGCUCGCCGGAAGACCAAGGGUUCCUGUCCAACGUUAAUCGGGGCAGGGUGAGUCGACCCCUAAGGCGAGGCCGAAAGGCGUAGUCGAUGGGAAACGGGUUAAUAUUCCCGUACUUGGUGUUACUGCGAAGGGGGGACGGAGAAGGCUAUGUUGGCCGGGCGACGGUUGUCCCGGUUUAAGCGUGUAGGUGUGUGUUCCAGGUAAAUCCGGUUCACUUUAACACUGAGGCGUGACGACGAGGCACUACGGUGCUGAAGCAACAAAUGCCCUGCUUCCAGGAAAAGCCUCUAAGCAUCAGGUAACAUCAAAUCGUACCCCAAACCGACACAGGUGGUCAGGUAGAGAAUACCAAGGCGCUUGA